rnacentral:rRNA from 1 species
AGUGAACGCUGGCGGUAGGCCUAACACGUGCAAGUCGAACGGCAGCACAGUAAGAGCUUGCUCUUACGGGUGGCGAGUGGCGGACGGGUGAGGAAUACAUCGGAAUCUACUUUUUCGUGGGGGAUAACGUAGGGAAACUUACGCUAAUACCGCAUACGACCUACGGGUGAAAGCAGGGGAUCUUCGGACCUUGCGCGAUUGAAUGAGCCGAUGUCGGAUUAGCUAGUUGGCGGGGUAAAGGCCCACCAAGGCGACGAUCCGUAGCUGGUCUGAGAGGAUGAUCAGCCACACUGGAACUGAGACACGGUCCAGACUCCUACGGGAGGCAGCAGUGGGGAAUAUUGGACAAUGGGCGCAAGCCUGAUCCAGCCAUACCGCGUGAGUGAAGAAGGCCUUCGGGUUGUAAAGCCCUUUUGUUGGGAAAGAAAAGCAGCAGGUUAAUACCCCGCUGUUCUGACGGUACCCAAAGAAUAAGCACCGGCUAACUUCGUG